CAAGUGAGGCUACCGAACGCUGGAAACAGCGGUUAGGAGCUUACACCCACCCGUGUUUACAUACUAUUGUUGCUUUGGCGGGCCGUGGCCUCCACUGCGGGCUCUGCUCGUGUGUGCCCGCCAGAGGACCAAACUCUUGUUUUUAGUGAUGUCUGAGUACUAUAUAAUAGUUA
rnacentral:misc_RNA from 1 species